GCCUAUGCUCGAAUACAUUAGCAUGGAAUAAUAGAAUAGGACGUGUGGUUCUAUUUUGUUGGUUUCUAGGACCGCCGUAAUGAUUAAUAGGGACAGUCGGGGGCAUCAGUAUUCAAUUGUCAGAGGUGAAAUUCUUGGAUCUAUUGAAGACUAACUACUGCGAAAGCAUUUGCCAAGGAUGUUUUCAUUGAUAAGGAACGAAAGUUAGGGGAUCGAAGACGAUCAGAUACCGUCGUAGUCUUAACUAUAAACUAUGCCGACUAGGGAUCGGACGAUGUUAUCUUUUGACGCGUUCGGCACCUUUCGAGAAAUCAAAGUGCUUGGGCUCCAGGGGGAGUAUGGUCGCAAGGCUGAAACUUAAAGAAAUUGACGGAAGGGCACCACCAGGGGUGGAACCUGCGGCUUAAUUUGACUCAACACGGGGAAACUCACCAGGUCCAGACACAGUGAGGAUUGACAGAUUGAGAGCUCUUUCUUGAUUCUGUGGGUGGUGGUGCAUGGCCGUUCUUAGUUGGUGGAGUGAUUUGUCUGCUUAAUUGCGAUAAC
rnacentral:rRNA from 1 species